rnacentral:tRNA from 1 species
GCCGGCGUAGCUCAGUGGUAGAGCGAGGCAUUCAUAAAGCCUAGGCCGCAGGUCCGAUCCCUGCCGUCGGCACCA